GACGAACGCUGGCGGCGUGCUUAACACAUGCAAGUCGAACGAAGUGGCGAACGGGUGAGUAACGCGUAAUCAACCUGUCCUUCAGAGGGGGACAACAGUUGGAAACGACUGCUAAUACCGCAUACUGAAGGUGGGGAUUGCGUUUGAUUGGCUAGUUGGAGGGGUAACGGCCCACCAAGGCGAUGAUCAGUAGGCGGUCUGAGAGGAUGAACGGCCACAUUGGGACUGGGACACGGCCCAUACUCCUACGGGAGGCAGGCGUGGGGAAUCUUCCGCAAUGGGCGAAAGUCUGACGGAGCAACGCCGCGGGAGUGAUGACGGCCUUCGGGUUUUGAAGCUCUGUUAAUCGGGACGCGGUACCGGAAUAGAAAGCCACGGCUAACUACGUGCCAGCAGCCGCGGUAAUAC
rnacentral:rRNA from 1 species